rnacentral:lncRNA from 1 species
UUUUCGAAAAGUAUAUAUAUGUAGUGUCUUUUAGAUAAUUUGAACGUAGUUGAGUAAGGUUGUCUUUUUUAAGCUUGUAUCGACCGAUUUGUACUUUAAAUUCCAAGAUGGCACACACUUUUGCACGAGACCUUUGAUGGAGAGAUUGUCUAGUGAUAUUAUUCGAUACCUGAGAGAGAACCCAAAUGUUGAAACAAUGUCGAAUCGAACCUUUGCAAAAAAAGAAAAAGAGAGAAAAGUAGAUUGGCUAGUCUCGUUUUGUGGCCUUUGUUACUCGAGCAAUUAAGUCCGUAUGGGGAUUUCAAAACCUAGUGCCCUAAGACCGUUUGGUUUGGGAGUCACUGACCCAAAGCUCGCUACAUGGGUAACAUUGUUUGCCUAAGAAAACGGACAAAAUAAAGUCAAUGCAAAAAAAAAAAAAGAAAAAAAAGAGAGAAGAAUAAGAGUUUGUGAAGUUUGGCUAGAUAUUUGUUUCGAUAGAGAUUGGGUCAGUUCAAAAUUGGUUGAAAAAGAGAAAGUAUUCUUAGACAAUUAGGAUCCAUCAAAGGCCUUAAAAUUACUUACACUCCUUGGAUUUCUAGUAAAUUUUUGAGUCUAUUCAAGUAGAUUAGAGGCAAUUGUAUCUUGAUUAUUAGUAGAUGAGUCUUUAAGUCGUAUUUCUUUAAAAACGCUUUUUGUUAACACCGGCGAAAUUAGAGUAGAGUCGAGUAGACACUUGCUAGAAUAUCUCGAAGAUUUUAUGGGUAUAUCUUCUGUAAACCCUUAGGAGACAAAACUCCUCUUGUAGAGAUCGUCUACGAUUUUAACGGGUUGGUGAACCUAAAAUCACCCGUCACGCCUACAAAAAGGAGCCUAGGAAUCGCAUCUAGUUUUCAUAGUUUAUUUUCUUUUCUUUUGAUUUUACUCGAGGACGAGCAAAAUAUAGGUAUGGGGAAGUUUGAUAAGUGCAUAUUUUUGUAUAUUUUAAAUGCCUAAUUAUUGCUUGUUCUCACUUAUUUAUUUGUUUAUUUGUCUUUUUUGUAGGAAUAUUGCAAAUGCUUGAAGAAAUAAAAGAAUAAAGCAAAAAAGAGAAAAAGAUGGAAGAAAAGGAUCAUAGGGGAAUAUUCUCAAGGAAGCAUCUAGAUGGGACACCUACACCCCCCCUCUACCCUAAUUUCCCCCUAUAAAUACACACCUCCCCAUCAUGUUUCAACCAACCUAGGAUUUCAUAUUUUUAGUAGCCUCUCUUUUAUGUAGUAGAUCUAGUAGUAGCACUCUAAAUUUGUAAACACUUUUAUUAUAUCAAUACAAGUAUUCAUUUUUGUUCUUAAAUCUUGCUCUUUACUUUUACUUCUAGGCUAUGAAAUCUUUCUCUAACCACAUGAGACUCAAAAUUACUUGUGGAUUGAAAGGAGCCUAAUUAUAUGUUUUAAGCUUGCAUUUUUUAGUAUUUAGAUCGAGCCCCUUUUAAUUCUCAAUAUUAUUAGUGGGUUCAAUGGUUUAGUAUUCUAGAUUUUGAUUUUAGCUUGUAGUUUGAUGGGGUUUUGUUAGAGACUUGGUAGAUAAGCUAGUUUUGAAGUUUUGUGUGAUUUGGAGUUAGUUUGGUAAGAUUUGGUGUUCUCUUUGUUCUUGAUUUUGGGGCUUUUGGGUGUAAAUUUUAGUUUAUGAUUUUGACUUGAGGUUAGUGGGUUUAUGUUGAAAAUAUUAUGUUUAGGCUAGAUUUGAAAUUUGGUGUAGUUUAGAGUUGAUUUGGUUUGAUUUGGGUCUUGUUUUGUUAAAAAAAUGGGUAGUUUAGAGACUAUUUAGUGUAGAAUUUGGUGUUAAAUUUGGUUUAGAGGUUAGUGGGGUUUUAUUUGUCAUAGUGAGAAUAGCUAGAUUUUCCGGUAAAAUUAAUUUUCCGGCGAGAUUUAAGUUAUUCCGGGCACCUCCAUAAGUUCCGGUGAGCUAGUCUACCGGAAUGACUAUGUUUUAUAUUAACCGCGUAUGUAAUCGAGUUUAGUUUUCUUCUUUUCCGCAACACGCGCGCACUUAUUUUCCUUGGUUUCUGCUACUUUUCUUUUCAAUUUUUUUUAUUUUAUUUCUUUUUAUUUUAUUUCUUUUGGAGUCUUCGACUGUUAGUGUCAAGUGGUGUUUUCAGUUUUGUUUGUUUCCGCCGCACGUCGCGUGUUCUUGAUUUCAUUUUUAUUAUUGAUUUCUUUAACUUGGUUUUCAAAUUUUUCUUUAUUUUCCUUUGGUAAUAUUUUAUGUUGCAAUUAAUUAGUAAAAAAAAAAAUUUUUCAAAAUUAAAUUGGUCUAAUUCGAUUAAAUUAGAAAUUAAGUUUUCGCGAAAAUAUAUUUAGUCCUUGGAACGAAUCUUAUAUUACUAAAACGGGAUCGUGCACUUGCGAUUAAUUUCAAAAUCUUAUUUUGAGCACAUCAAGUUUUUGGGGCUUUAGUGUAAUUCUAAAAAAAUGAAAACCCUAAAAAAUGAAAAAUUAGAAAAAUCCAAAAAUAGAGAUUCUUUUAGCUAAGUUGUCUUUCCCUCACUCGAACUUUAGGAGUAGUUGGUGUUUAGCAUGUUUUCGAAAAGUAUAUAUAUGUAGUGUCUUUUAGAUAAUUUGAACGUAGUUGAGUAAGGUUGUCUUUUUGAAGCUUGUAUCGACCGAUUUGUACUUUAAAUUCCAAGAUGGCACACACUUUUGCACGAGACCUUUGAUGGAGAGAUUGUCUAGUGAUAUUAUUCGAUACCUGAGAGAGAACCCACAUGUUGAAACAAUGUCGAAUCGAAC